GCCCAGUAGCCACUUGUCACGUGGGCAUCUCGGGCAUCGCCCAUGUCCGCUUAUAAAAGACCGAAUGCUGCCGUUUCCGUUUUUUAAAUGCUUCUCUCCCGAUUGCCUCUCCCACUCAGCUCGAGAAGGCGAUGUCACUUAUCUAGGUUUUUUUUUUUGGUACGAGUUCCUAGUGCGUCGAGACGCUUUCUCCUCGAGUUCUCUACGAAUCAAGCUCGGAAUCUAAAUUCGCCGAUCUCUCUACCGAUUCGCAGUGAUAUUUGUAUGGGUAUUCAAGAAGUUCUUAAAGAUUUCUUAAUUCCAUUGAAUUUAUACAUGAUGCACUCGUCCGAAGGAUUUCGGUGAAUUUUUGCGAGCCAAGAAUAUAACGGGCUAAUCAGGUGAUUCGUGGUGCUCCUAGAAUGCUGUUUAACUGGCACGGCAGGUCUUGAAAAUUAUCAGGAGCCAUGGAAUUAGAAGUCAAGACGUGAAAUGAGGUGCAAUGCUUGCUGGCGGGAAUUGGAUGGGAAAGCCAUAUCAACCACCUGUGGCCACCUCCUGUGCACUGAAGAUGCAAGCAAGAUACUCAGCAACGAUUCUGCAUGCCCAGUUUGUGAUCAAGCGCUCUCCAAAAGCCACAUGAGACCAAUUGAUAUAAAUCCUGGUGAUCACUGGAUAAAUAUGGCGAUGGCUGGAGUGCCCCCGCAAAUUCUCAUGAAGACUGCAUAUCGAGGCGUGAUGUUUUACAUUGGACAAAAGGAAUUAGAGAUGCAAUACAAAUUGAACAAGAUCGCUGGGCAAUGCCAGCAGAAAUGUGAGGUCAUGCAAGAAAAAAUUAUGGAAAAAUUGGAGCAAGUGCAUGCUGCAUACCAGAAAAUGGCCAAGAGGUGCCAGAUGAUGGAACAAGAGAUUGAAAGCUUAUCAAAAGAUAAGCAAGAACUACAAGAAAAAUAUGCUGAGAAAUCCAGGCAGAAGAGGAAGCUAGAUGAGAUGUAUGAUCAGCUGAGGAGUGGGUAUGAGUCUGUUAAGCGUUCAGCAAUCCAACCUGCAGGCAACUUCUUUUCAAGAACUGAACCAGACUUGUUCUCCGGCAUGGGUGACAUGAUGGAUAGCAGAGACCGCCUCAGACAAGGGCAGAGAGAGGAGAUAUGGCCUUCAGCCAGACAGAAAAAUUCCAACUCGGGUGCCUAUAAUCUUUCUGGGGGCUCACCAGCACAGACUGCUCCAGUUCCUGUAGAUGCUGGAACCAGGAGACAGCCACACGCUUUAUUUGGACCUGGUGCGAGCAAUCCUGCUGCUACUUUGCGUAAUCUAAUAAUCUCACCCAUGAAGCAGCCUCAGCUAUCACGUACCCACCCACACUUGUUCACGUUGUAAAAUAGGAGAGAGCUCAGAAUGUUGCUGUGCAGUCAUUGCCACGUCAGCCUCUUCUCUCUCCCUGCAAAUUAAAGUAACUAUCUUUGAGACUCAGUGACAUCAUAGAACGAGUCUAGCUGAUAUCGACAAUAAUUUUGAGAAGAGAGAUCAUUUUGUUUCAGAAAGGGAAUUGAUACAAGGAUACUCGUAGUGUUUCUUUUUUUUAUUGCUUUGCAUUUUAAUUGAUGUAGGGACAGAAUUCUCCUUGUGGUACAUGAGAUGAAGCUUUGAAAAAUGAUGUCUGUGCUGGCAACACUAACGUAAGUUGUAUAAAAAUCACAAAUUGGGGGAUGGGGAGGGUGUAUCAGAUUAUAGACAUGAAAGGAGUUCUAGUGCACCAAUGAAGCUUGGUACUUUCAUGAAGCUUCAAGCAAUUGUUUAUAUACCUCUCCUGAACCUAAUAUGCAUGUCGAAGCAUAGAUCCGGAACAUGAGUUCAACCAGGAUUGUCCCAUUAUUCUAACAUUCUUGUUUAUCUCUGCUGGUAAGCUGAAGACUCUUUUCUGCUGUUUGAUGUUGAUGUGUGGUGCAUUGCAUAAUACUAUGUGGUACAGGUUCUUGAGAGCCAUGAUUUGAACCUUUCAAGCCGAAAACAUCAUCUCUAUUUUCCCCCAACCUUGCUAGGAAUCUUAUGACAUCUAAAUAAUUAUUUAUUUUCCAUCACAAAUUUUCUUGGAUCUUUGAUGCUGUUUAAUAUUUUUAGUUGCCCUGCAAACUUUGAGUAACUGCCCAAGUUCCUUGGCAAGACUUGACAUAGCAAUAUUUGUUCUUCGCUGAUAUUAUCUGGUUACGACUCUCUCCAGUGAUCCGAGACUUGAUCGAUACUACUGAUAUUUACAGUCACAGGUCAAUGCAGUAGAAAAGCAGAGUUAGGAUAUGAUGGCGUUACCUGGUGCCUUCUGAAUGUGGGUUUUAAACAAGUCACAGCCUCACAGGUUAAGGCCUAAUUACUUAGAAUGCAUUUUAAUGGAAAAUUCCAAUUAAUUAACUUCCAUAAUUCUGUAGGCAAAUUCAACAGUUAAAUCUUUGAUGCAGGGCUCGGUUCUGUGAGUAUCAUGACUGGAAAUUUUUUGAUGAUCCCUUGCAACCUGCUGCUUUUGCUUCUUCAGUAUCGAUGUUUUUAUUAAUGUUCAUUUGUGCAUGCAUGAUUGAAGUUCCCUGGCUCCACUGCAUGUCUCAUCAGUCUGACGUUUGGUAAUUCACAUUGUUCCGAGUUUGUGUUGCAUCUUAAGCACGAAAUAAUGAUUUUGGUAAGAAACAUUGUUCCGUGUUCGCGGUGCAUCUUGAUCACGAAUGAAUGAUUAAUAUUGUCUCGCCACAUCCACAAUUGGAUUGCAUUUUGCACAAAUCUCGAACCAUCUCAAACUUAUUUAUCCAUCCAUUUGCACAGCCUUUAAAGCAAUUAUUGAACGAUCCAAGGUGCAUCCUUGUUCCGUGGCAUUAAGCGCAAAAGAUACAACCCCCAUCCCAUUGUUCUAUGGCAUUAAUUAAGCGAGGAACUUGCUAAUCUUGGGCGUUGCUUUUGAAAUUUGUAACUCGUCCCGUUACGUUCCAAGAUCCGAUCGAUCCCCAGGAAGACCCGACCCCUUGUAUCUAGGUUGGGGAGGCACCCCCUUUCCUGGGCCCCGGGCCCGUGGUCGUCUAGAAUGCGUCAACCCCGUCGGCGUUCCACGAGGGAACCCUCGAGCUUCGGGGGGUUCCAGCAGUCCUCCCUCGCGCUGCGGCCCGGCGGACCACCCCAUCGUGCGGAGUAUUCCCCGACGGAGAUUGAAUCUACGGUCGAUCUCAUGUACCUCGCCGGCAAGGGCGAUGGGGGAGGCAUCCGAGGCCUCUUGGAGUCCGACAUCGUCGUCAACUUCAAGGGCAUCGACGGGAGGACGGCUCUGCACGUCACCGCGUUCCAGGGCCGCCUCGAUGUCGUCGAUUUGCUGCUCCUCAGCGGCGCCGUGGUGGAUCCCAGGCACCGGUGAGGCAGCGCGGUCUCUUCUUGAUAUGCUGAACCUCAAAAGUUCAAAUCUCAUCUGGAUCUAUUUGCAUCUGGUCUUGGAGUCUGCAGUUUAAAUGAUUCUUUCAACCAUAUUCGAUGCUUGUAGUAGUAACCUGCAGAGAAAAGAGGAAUUUUCAGGAAUUCAUCGACAUAUGUAUUCUCUUAGUCAAAUGGUUAAUACUUUUUUUGUUUUUUGUUUUUUUUAAUGUUUAGGAACACUUCCCUGCUAAGAUUUGAAGUUGAGCACAUCGUAUGUACAUUUGCAGUUAACUAAAUUUUAUCAUCAGAACUUCAGACUGAUUUUCCUACUACUGUUGUCUGAAUAGCCACUUGGAAAUGCAAUAUAAUACAAGAAUCAUGAUGUGAUCAAGCUUUUGGAGAAAUUUGGUGCUAAGCUCAGAUUGCUUCUAUGCAUGUGAAAAUGGCACGUAAAGUUCCAGACUAUGGGUUUCAUCCAAGUGAACUUGAUUUCACAAACAGUGUUGAAAUAACCAAGGCAUGGUGACUUAUCUUUGAUAUGCAUGUCCAACAAAUUUGAUGCUAAAGAUGAGGAGGGCUGCUGAGAUUGCAUUAUUAACUUCCAAGAAAUUUCUAGAAGAUGGAUUUGAAGAGGAUGGGCCUCCACAAUAGUGAAGGCAAGAUUCUAACACCAACAUGUCUCUAAAAUUGCCAUUGAGAGAAGGGAACUUAGACACGGGCUUUCAUUGCUUCAGCAAAUACAGCAUUCAAAUAUUGUCCAAUUUUUGGGCGCUACAAAGUAAUCGAAUGAUGGCAGUUAUGGAAUAUCUGCCAAAGGUUUGUUUGCUGAUUUUCUGAGCUUCCAUUUUCUUUUUUUUUGAGCUGUGAAAACUAAACCUAUCUGUGUAUUUUUGGCAUUUGUUGUUCAUCCGAUCUUACAUAUUCCUUCCUUUUUCCAAUCAUGAUAUUAACCAAUCUAACCAGGUCUCGCCUUAUCAUGUUUUCUUCUGGGUUGGGCCAAUAUCAGCUCAGUAAUGCAAGGAUUUUUUUUUUUCAUGAACAACAAUGUAAGAUGUAAAUAGUUAUAAAGUGGUCUUCCCAAUUGUCCAUUAUUAUAUGAAUUGUUAUUUUAAUGGAGUUAGGACUAAUAACUGCAACUUAUAAUAGUCAUGCAUAUUUAUCAUCUUUUAUAAAACUUUAAAGUUUAAACUGUAAUGUCUUUGGCAUCAAGCUGUUUGGGUAUGUAAUUGUAUUUAUGUUCUGGGAUUAAGGCACUAAAAGGAAACCAGAUUAAUAAAAUUGAAAGCACAAACUCCUAACCUAUAAAUUUUAAUUGAUAUCAACAAUUUAGAAUAUUACAGUACAUCCCCAAUUCACCACUGGGUGAACCUCAAGUUUGCUUUUGAAAUUGAGAUAAUUGGCAUCUGCCCCCUGCAUUGACUGCCAUCUGACAUUUAGUCCCUGUUGACUGAAAAGUUUUAUUGCACCCUUGAUAUUGAUGGCCAUUUUAUGUUUAAUCCCUGUCCCCAUAUGUACUUAUGCAUAAGUGUGUAUAAAACAGAGAACUCUGUGUAGAAACAGGCAUAACUGAAAAAUACUGCCUGACUAUAGAAGAAGAAUGUAAAAAUGCCAACUAUUUAAAGGCUAAACAUAAAAUGGCGGUCAAACAAAGGCUGAUUGUUAAGUUCCCAUUGGAAUUUUCAUAAACAUGUUUUAUUUACUUGUAUUGUUAUACAUCACUGUCAAAGAUAAGCCAUGGUGGUUCGAGAAAAAAUGUUCAAUAAAGAGAUCCAUCUUCUAAGAUCAAUUCAAUAUAGCAUUUGUCUGUCUAAAAUUUCCAAUAUAUGUCAGUAUUACUUCUUUUGGUUUUAGACUGUGUAAUACGACAUGUUAGCUAUGUGAUUUGAUUGAAUAAGAGCUGAUUAAGAGAAAUGAACUGGUAUUCUUUGGUCUGAAUCUCCAGUUUGACUCUUGUACUGGUUCAGAUUUCAGAGUGAUGUCAAACAAACUAUACCAAAUGGAAGGGCAGCCUGGUCUAUAUAUUGCAUGAUGUCUUAGUUUACUUCAUUCUUGGGUGCAAGGUGAUCUAUACCAGAAAGGAGCAAUAAAUCCAUCAAUGGCAGUUCAAUUUGCACUUGAUAUAGCAAGGUUGUUAAGUUAGUUUUUGCCUUCCAUUUUCUCAAAGAAACCUGCUAAUGAGUAGUUACUAGUGAGAAUCAAGUUAGACAUGAGUUUCUAACACUUCCUAAAAUACUUAUGGAAUUUUGUUUUCCCAUCAUCUUUAAUUUUCAAGCAUUGCAAAUGCAAGUAUUAACCUAUGGGUCAAAUUUUGCCAGAGGAAUGAAUUUUUUGCAUGUGUCAUAAAUGAUUAUGUUUGUGCUCUUAUUUCUUUAUAUCUCGUAUAUGGAUUCGAUUUUACUACCUAGUACUCUUUGAAUAGCUUGAAGCUUUUUGGACGUGUUUGCUUUGCUUAUUAUGAGUAAGAUUACAGAAUCAUAUUGUUAGAUAAUGCUAAACAUUUGUAAGUUGCAAAUUUUGAUGUCAGCAAGCUGCUGAAGGUAGUGAAACUGUCUGUGAGGACAGACCGCUUGAUUACAAGAAUCGUUCAGCUUUCACUUGCCCCACCUAUAUAACUUCUGAAAGCAAUAUGAAGUGAAAUAGAUUAGUCAACAUGUACUUGAUUUGUUCACUAUAUGAAGUAAAGCAUCAAAUGAAAGACAUUUUUAAGUAUCAGAGUUAGAAGAAAUCCAGAGGUUAAAGUCUUUAGGUUAAAAAUUGUCUUAAAGAAUAGCAGAUAUUUUAAAUUCUGUUUGAUCAGUUUUGGUAAUUGCAUGUAGAUCAUCUAUAAUAACAGCAUAUCAUAUAAGUGAGAAACUUGCAUCAGGAUAAAGGGGAGACAUCUUUUUUUGGGUCAGACCAUCAAAAAUAUUCUAGAAUUACGAAGGAAAUGAAGGAGGUUAGUGUUGCAUGGAUUUUCUUUGUCUUUUUCCCUUUGUGCAAUAACGAAGGCGACAUUUUAUAGUUCAUGAUGGAUUAUUCCUUUUCAGGAGCAAUUUUUGAGGGUUAGCUGGAUCAUUGUUGACAAUGGAAGCAGUCCACAUGCCAGAAAUUUAUUAGCCAUUCGUGGACCAGGAAUUUAUGAGCCAUGUGUGGAGAGUGUAAAGGUGGAGCCCAUUGCCAGAAACUCAUCAGCAGAUGUUAGAUACCACAGUGAUUCUUGCAGAUGCCUAGUGGGUGUUGAGAUUAUCAAGCAUGGGAAGGCCCCACAAUUGAAUUCUACAAGUUGGCUGAUCCACUGCUUCUGUGAAUUUGUAGAUUCCGAGAUUUGUAAUGUGGAUAGAGUCAUAACAGAAAUGUAGAUUGAUUGGUAAAACAUUAGCAGAUUUCUUGACUCAGAUGAUUAUUGGAAGGAACCAAUACCUAAGUCUAGCUUAAUAUAUUUUGUAGGGGGUCAGGUUAGUUAUGCUAGUGUGGCUUAUGUUAUGUUGAAUAAAGACUUGAUGGUAAUACAUGAAGGUGGGGCUUCAGUCCAGGUUAAGAUGCCCAUAAAUGUUUUCUUUACUUUUCUUUUUUUUCCCCUAUAUCUCGGCUAAUAAGGUGGACAUUAGAUUGAGUGCUAUGUGAUGGCCGCUUACAAGUUCACUUAAAAAAAGGAAGGAAUGGGUGGAGAGACUCUACAAACAAGAUAUGAUGUUGUGGUUUAAGAGACUUUGUGCUUCCAUAGGGUGCAUGCGCAUUUGACGAGCACAAGGGUUAUGAUCAUGUUUAGAUUGAUGUAUUUUGGAGUUACAAAGGAAUAGUCAAAGAUUAUGGUGGAUAAGAUAUGAAACUGAUCAAGAUUGUAUGUGCAACCAAGAUGUUAGAGAGACCCCUUAAGGUGGCACUCAAUGUGUCUUGCAGCACUAGGCUUGCGAAGAAGAAUAGGUGCUAAGAACACCUGUAUAGAAUUGAUGAGAAAGGACAUUAAGUCCUUUACUACAAAGAGACCCUUAAUAGGACUGGUUGACAAAGAUAUCCAAUGCUUACUUAGAUUGAUGGGAUGAAACUCGACAUGGUCAGUACUCAGUAGUGCAAUUAAUUGAUUAGUUUUUUCAAAUGCUUUGUUAUAUGAAUCUGUGUGGUUACUCUUAUGAAUAACCUAAUAUACCAACCAAAAGCUGUCAUGUCUCAUCCCAUUUCUACAAUAUUCUUUUUUCUUUGUGCUUCUAGCUUGAUCAUGCUGUUUUAAGCCCUCGCCUCUAAACUCAGCAAUGUAUAUGUAAAACUAUAAACUUUUUGAGCAGGCAGGUAUGUGGCUCCAGAAGUCUUCCAAAUGGAGAAUAUGGUAUAAAAGUGGAUGUCUUUUCAUUUUUUUUUUAUCUUUCAGGAGGUAUGCUUUCUAAAAGCUUGCAAGUCUAUAAACAUAUUUAGCACGGUAAUUUCAGCAAUACUGAUAUAGGAGAAUGGUUGCCCUGCAACUUUCUAGCUGCUCGUUUAUCUCAAGAGAACAAACUAAUUUAUUUGUGGGCAUGCCCAUGAAUAAUAACAUAAGAAUGAAAUGUCUUUAACUUAAUAAAAAAUUCAAAUUGUUGUUCACUAGGGGGUAAGCUUGCAUAUAUCUGACCUUCUUUAGAUCCUGUAGUGGCGGGAGCCUCGUGACUGGGAUGCCCUUUGCUAUUAACUAGUGGAAAAAACUUCCCAAAUGUGAACUUCCUUGUUGUCAAAACCAACCAGUGUAUUUUUCUUUGUACCAAUCAAUUAGAAAAUAAUGCAGAUAAAGAUGUUAAGUGUGCAUAAGUAUACCAGGCACUUGUGUUAAUUUGUACCUAAAUAGGUACUAGACAUUUUUGUUAUUGUAAUAUCAUUUGGUAUAUAUUAUUGCAACAGGAAAAGAUGCCAUCUUCAAGUAGAUAGAUGAGCUCUACUGAUUGCUCUUCUGCUUUUCCUUGGUGUUGUCCUCUGUAAAUGCACAUCAUUCAUUAGAUUUAUUCAGUACUCAUGUAGUAAAUACUCAUUGACAAGCAAGAUGGAUGUGUUGAAUGUAAUACUUCGUAUCUGCGGAGUUUUAGGCCAUAUUGCGAGGUACAGGCAACCUAUGUUAUACCAACUCAGACAUGAGCAUCAUGAGGGGGUGCAUGUCUUAGCAUCCGAUCCUUCGUUAAGAAUUUCCUCUAAUGGAUCCUUACCCUAGUGCCUAUCCAUGUUUAAGUGUGGGGGGUGGGUGCUUCAUAGUGAAUCAAAGGGUUCAAGUUAUAUGAGGUGCAAUAGUCUCAAAUUUGAUGCCCUUGAGUUACCAUUUUUCAUGUUCAUGUUGGUUCAUAUGCCUCCAUACAUGUUUAUAUAUGCAUUCUGCAGAGAUGGUUGCAUUUACGAUGAAAUAUGUGCAUAAUCUUGUCUAUCUAAAAAAAUCGUACUAGAGUUCUGGGUGGCGCACAGUUGAAUUGGCACUUCUUGUUUAACAUAGAGUUCAUUUGUUGACAGCAAGCUUGUGCUCAAAUCACCAAUUUCUGGUGUUAAUGAUAAUAUACAUGUAGUUAAUUGUUUUUAUGCUAAAUGGUUUGUUGAUAAUGCAUUCAUAUUGUCUUAAUUGUUGCUUUCUUGCAUAGAAUCUUUAGGAUACAAUUUGUUAACAUUGCCAAUAUAUAUUUAUUGUAAUUGUGUUUGGAUUAUUAUUAACCUGAUCUGAUCUGAAAAACCGAUACACUAAUAAAAUAAAUCAUAAAACUUGAUGAAAUCCGAUCAGAGUGGAAGUGAAUUUUGACCCAAUUUAAGUAUGGAUCAUUUUGGAUUGUGCCAAACCUACUUGUGUGUAGCAUGUAAAGAUUUUUGAGUCUGGGGUUUAAAUCUUGCAAAAGCAACCUGUUUAAACAUAUAUUCCUCUAGGGCUUUUUAUACUUUAGUUACAUAUUGUGAUGAUCUGCGGUAGAUGUCAUGAUUCCUUUAUUAUUUUAGGCCAGGAAGGGUGAUGGCUGAUAAACUUGGCACUGAAGGAUCUUUGAAAUGAUCGUGUAAAUAUGAAUAGCUGCUAAAAGUUCAGUGGCAAUUUAUGUUGAAUUUUCAAAGUUUUGUAUGAGUCUUUUCUUGCAAAUUUUAUCUGUGGAGGAAAUAGAAUGCAGCACAGAACUGUAAUUUCCCCUCUACAACCUCAUAUUUGGUCGGAAAGGACUUGGAUGGUAAUGAUCGAGGGUGUUUUUUCUCUUGUUAUUUGAUCUGAAAUGUACAUCAAGGUACUUCAAUUGUGGCGUUCGCUGAUUUCAAUUCCUCUUCUUUUCCUCUGUACCUAGGCUUAAGUUCUUAAAAGAGUAGUGUGUGGAAAAGAAAAGAAACCUCCAUAGAAAUAGGAAAUGUGAUUCAUGUGGCUGAAAAUUUUGAUGCAAUAGUUGAGUGUAAGAUCUGUGGGGGUUGAAAUGCUCAAUUACCCUGAGAGAAACUUCAGCAAGUUCGGGGGUUAUGUUCUUCUAUUGAAUUAAACUACUUGCUUAAGACAAUGCUGAGAUAUAUUUAUUUGCUUAACAGCAUCAAUGUUGACCUGCAUGGCAAAGGCUGCUGAAAUAUAGUUCAUUAACAUUUGAUUCUUUGUAGACUGUUUUAUCCAGAUGAUUGGAGGGUCUCCACCAUGUUCCACUACACGAGACAUCGAAGUUCCCAAAGCAUAUUUAUUUGAUUAGCCUCCUUUUAUUUGAUUAAAGAGUUUGUCCAUUUUCUUGAAUAAUAUUUUUUUUCAGCACAUGUAACAUAUUAUAAUACAAUGUUGACUUCUCUUUGAUA